UUUCCGUUGGUGAACCAGCGGAGGGAUCAUUACCGAGUUUACAACUCCCAAACCCAAUGUGAACGUUACCAAACUGUUGCCUCGGCGGGGUCACGCCCCGGGUGCGUCGCAGCCCCGGAACCAGGCGCCCGCCGGAGGAACCAACCAAACUCUUUCUGUAGUCCCCUCGCGGACGUUAUUUCUUACAGCUCUGAGCAAAAAUUCAAAAUGAAUCAAAACUUUCAACAACGGAUCUCUUGGUUCUG
rnacentral:misc_RNA from 1 species